rnacentral:rRNA from 1 species
CCUAUAAGACUGGGAUAACUUCGGGAAACCGGAGCUAAUACCGGAUAACAUUUGGAACCGCAUGGUUCUAAAGUGAAAGAUGGUUUUGCUAUCACUUAUAGAUGGACCCGCGCCGUAUUAGCUAGUUGGUAAGGUAACGGCUUACCAAGGCGACGAUACGUAGCCGACCUGAGAGGGUGAUCGGCCACACUGGAACUGAGACACGGUCCAGACUCCUACGGGAGGCAGCAGUAGGGAAUCUUCCGCAAUGGGCGAAAGCCUGACGGAGCAACGCCGCGUGAGUGAUGAAGGGUUUCGGCUCGUAAAACUCUGUUAUUAGGGAAGAACAAAUGUGUAAGUAACUAUGCACAUCUUGACGGUACCUAAUCAGAAAGCCACGGCUAACUACGUGCCAGCAGCCGCGGUAAUACGUAGGUGGCAAGCGUUAUCCGGAAUUAUUGGGCGUAAAGCGCGCGUAGGCGGUUUCUUAAGUCUGAUGUGAAAGCCCACGGCUCAACCGUGGAGGGUCAUUGGAAACUGGGAAACUUGAGUGCAGAAGAGGAAAGUGGAAUUCCAUGUGUAGCGGUGAAAUGCGCAGAGAUAUGGAGGAACACCAGUGGCGAAGGCGACUUUCUGGUCUGUAACUGACGCUGAUGUGCGAAAGCGUGGGGAUCAAACAGGAUUAGAUACCCUGGUAGUCCACGCCGUAAACGAUGAGUGCUAAGUGUUAGGGGGUUUCCGCCCCUUAGUGCUGCAGCUAACGCAUUAAGCACUCCGCCUGGGGAGUACGACCGCAGGUUGAAAACUCAAA